ACACUGCUACUUACGAUUAGUUUUGCAGGUUUGCAUUUCAGCGUAUAUAUGUAUAUAUGGCUGUGCAAAUCCAUGCAAAACUGAUUGUGAUAAUGU
ensembl:miRNA microRNA 19b-2